GAUCAUAGCUCAGGAUGAACGCUAGCUACAGGCUUAACACAUGCAAGUCGAGGGGCAGCAUGGUCUUAGCUUGCUAAGGCCGAUGGCGACCGGCGCACGGGUGAGUAACGCGUAUCCAACCUGCCUUACACUCUUGGACAGCCUUCUGAAAGGGAGAUUGAUACAAGAUGUUAUCAUGAGUAAGCAUUUUCGCAUGAUUAAAGGUUUACCGGUGUAAGAUGGGGAUGCG
rnacentral:rRNA from 1 species